CCGAAGGGGUGGCCUUCUUCCUCUUUGGGGGCUCGGCUUCUGAAGAUGGGCUAGACCUCUUCUUUUUUCUUGAUGGCACCGUUGGAUGUCAUCAAAGGUUAUCUUCAUCACUACAAUAUUAAAAUCAGAAGGAGAGUUAGAAGCUUGUGGACGAAGAGAACAAAAUAACUAAAAGGAAUGAAGAGCAGUGAUCUAUAUUGGGGAACGACAUGGUUGAUGCCUGCAUCGUACAGAUCCUGCUUGAUCAAAAGAUUCUUAAACUGAGGGACAUGGAUCCCAACUAGUUUUUGAUACUCUUCCAAGACCUCUUUGAGCGAAUCUUCCCUAGAGUUUGGUUUUAACCUAGGUUGACCCCAAGUGGUCCCAAAAUCUUAAGAUUGGUCCGAGGAGACAAAGAAGUACCUAUUCUUCCAACUAUGUAC
rnacentral:lncRNA from 1 species